CCUCUAAUAACUUCCUCUGACUUCAGAUAUUUCGACCAAUCAGAGGCGGUUGCUCAGCGGAUAAGCCGACCAAUCAGCACUAGGCUAACCAACCGACCAAUCAGUCUGCAGAUAGUGGAUGGCGUGACGCUGGUGGCUUGCGAGUGACGUCAUGGGCCUAGUGUUUGCCGUGGAGAGGAGAAUGGCGGAGAAACACGCUCAGAAAAACGAGUGAAACUAGGGAGUAAAAUCGACAUUUAAACCCUUGCUUCGGUUUGUUAGCACUGAGAAACUUGAUCACCAAAGACGCGUGGCUGCUAAAACAAGCUUUGGACCUGUUUUUGUCGAAUACAAGCUGGACGCUGAAUACACCUGCAUCGUGACGGUGUCAGCACUUUGUCCACGAGAGCAGAGACCACAGACCAGAAGAGAAAACAAGAGACCGAGGUAUCCAGGGCCACUUUAAUCAGGUGUCUCCAUGAGUCAAGAGACCACAGACCAGGCGAGACCAGACAAGGAGAGGGCUCCAGGACCACUUUAAUCAGGUAAUUCAGAAAUGGCAUUACAUUCACUGUCCAUCUGAGGCAUUACUGACAAAAACCAGACUGAACUCAUUAAUAAAGUUUAUUUAAAUCGCUAUUCAUCAUGUCUAAAGUCAAAAGAAUUACACACCUCAGCUAAAAUGAAAGAACCAGUGUAUCUGUAAUGUUCUCUCUCAGCUCAUGUUUAAUUUUCUCCAAGAUCUUAAGGUUAAAAUGUUCCUGUUAAGUAUAGGAAAGAUAAAGACCAGUUAUGCCUUGCUUUGAAUAGUCAUUUUUAAUUCAUUUCAUGUAUUCUGGAUUUCUACUAAACGUUGGUCUUUUUGUUUUUCCAGGUGAAUUCACAGAAACCACUGGAUCCAGUGAAGGUAGGAAAAUAUUUUUAUUUCUUCUUCUUCCACUUCUAGACUGUCCUUAUUCCUUUUUAGAACAAAUCUGAAUCAGUGUAAUCACUGAUGUUUUAGUAGGAGUGCUACCACUACUACGUUCUAAAUUCAGCAAAACUUUUUAAUUAAUUACUUUUCUAAACUAUUUACAUGUCUACAAGUUAUCACAGUAGAGACCAUGGUUGUGUAACUGUCUUAAGUUUAAAAACAGAUCAGGAAACAAAAUAGUCCUGAAACUUCACUUAAAGAAAACUAUUUACUGAAUUAGGGAAAAAAGUUUAAUUAUCUCUAAUUUUAUUCAUACUAAUUAAGGUAAUCGCAUGAUGGCAGGAUAAUCAUUACAGCAUUAAUUUUCUGUCUUGUUUUACUGUAAUUAUUACUCUUUACAUUACAAUAGUUUAUAUGAAGUUUCAGGAGUAUUUUGUUCCUUGAUCUGUUUUUAAACUUAAGACAGUUACACAACCAUGGUCUCUACUGUGAUAACUUGUAGACAUGUAAAUAGUUUAGAAAAGUAAUUAAUUAAAAAGUUUUGCUGAAUUUAGA